UUACGGCCAUAUCACAUUGAAACACCGAUUCUCAUCCGGUCACUAAAGUUAAGCAACAUUGAACCUGGUCAGUACAUAGAUUGGUGACUGCUUGGGAAUAUUGGGUGG